rnacentral:rRNA from 1 species
GUGGGGGAUAUUGCGCAAUGGGGGCAACCCUGACGCAGCAACGCCGCGUGAAGGAUGAAGGUUUUCGGAUUGUAAACUUCUUUUAUUAAGGACGAAAAAUGACGGUACUUAAUGAAUAAGCUCCGGCUAACUACGUGCCAGCAGCCGCGGUAAUACGUAGGGAGCAAGCGUUGUCCGGAUUUACUGGGUGUAAAGGGUGCGUAGGCGGCUUUGCAAGUCAGAUGUGAAAUCUAUGGGCUCAACCCAUAAACUGCAUUUGAAACUGUAGAGCUUGAGUGAAGUAGAGGCAGGCGGAAUUCCCCGUGUAGCGGUGAAAUGCGUAGAGAUGGGGAGGAACACCAGUGGCGAAGGCGGCCUGCUGGGCUUUAACUGACGCUGAGGCACGAAAGCGUGGGUAGCAAACAGGAUUAGAAACCCCAGUAGUCC